ACUGUCACAUUUUCAAAGGUCACUCUACCUGGGGUAGAGUUGGAGAAGCCUGAAAAUUCAACUAUGGAUGACAUGUUUUAAUGGUACUUUCCAUAGCCCUGAGAGCAUCUGGGUCUCAAAAUACUUGCUUAUUAAUUAUAAUAGCAUCUAACGUUGCCUGAGUACUUACCAUGUGCCAGCACUGAGCACUUUAUGUACAUUAUUUCUUCAUCUUCACAACCUUGGGUAUUAUUAACCCUAUUUGAAAAGGUGCCAUCAGUUUUCACCUGGACUUUGACAUCAUCACCUUAUCUCCCAACAUUCAUGUUCUUAACACGAUGGCCAAUGAUAAAGGGAUUUGUCCUGGAACAUUACAUAGAUCACAUUGAAACUGACAGCACUAACAGCCUGAACCUAGCCAGAACACAGAUUGCGACUUGAACCCACGUGCUGGGACUUGAACCCAGCCAAAAGCCAGAUUGGGACUUAAACCCAUAGUUUUAAACUUGAGUUGUUCACCUUGUGUCUGGACUCACCAAGGUUCAGGUUCUUCUAUGUCUCCAUGCAGAAGGAAUUCAGCAAGAGACAAAGGGAUAGGUAAGAAACACAUUUACCAGGAUACGAUGCUUGAGGAGAUGCCAGCAGGCAGGCAAGGAAGCUCUGACAGAGGAUCCCAUGGGCCACAGUUUUAUCAUCCAUGGGGUGUGGGGAUUGGAAAGACCCGCCUCCUCCUUUCUGGGAGUCGUAGCUCCUCCUUAUGUCUGGUAAGGUGUGUAUUCAAAUCAGCUGAAGGGUUGUCUUCAAACUCUUGCCCUUGGUCUGAAUCCGAAUGCAGGCCUCAUCCCAUCCCCCACCCAAUGACCUGAAGCAAGCCUCACACCUCCGCUAUUUAAGCAAGUCUGCCUUGUUCUGAUGGUUUUCUUGAACUUACAGUGGUCUCCCAACAUCUCCCAGGUUUCCCUAUUUAUCUAUGACCCCUACUGAGACUUCUACAACCACCUGCGCCUACUUCAUCCCUAUCAACAUCACUGCCUCCCACUUCAUUCUACUCCCUUCUCCCUCUAUCUCUCCUUAGAAACAUUAAUGCUUUCCUACUGCUCUUCGUUUAAAGGACAAAAUCCUUAGCAUGGCUCUGUACUGGCCCUACACCCCAUCCAGCUUUAUUUCAUAACCCCCAUCUCCCUAAUUCUCGGUAUGACAGCUAAACAGCUCCAGGCUCCCUCCUCAGACCUCUAACUCUCAGUCUCACUCUUCCUUCACCCACCCAUUCUCAACUCUACCUUCAGCCCAAGAGUCACUUACUUAGUCAGGGAAGCCUCACCUGACCUCCCAAAGCUUACCUGCCCUUUUGUAGCACCAGGCUCCUCCCCUCCACACUCGUUAGCACACUGGGAAUUUGACACCUUUGAUUAAUACCUUUGACUAAUUUGAUAGCUUUUCAUUAAUGAGGACAUGUGGUCCUCAGAGUUUGGUUUGGGACCAGGAGCACCAGUAUCACCUAAGAACUUACCAGAAAUGGAAAUUCUGGGCUACCACCUCAGAAAUUGAGGAGCAGCAUGCAGCUUUGUUCAAUUCUGCAGGUGAUUUUGAUGCUUGCUAAAUUUUUAGAAGUAAUGCAAACUGUAAGCUCCAAGAGGAAAUUUUGGGAUCAUCAUCAUGUUUCACCAUAUUUGAUGAUGAAUGACUCAAGUUGAAAAACCCAAGACUCUGAAAGGUUAAAUAACUUGUCCAAAAUCAAAGAUUUGGCAAGUAAUAAAAUCAAGAAGAAUGAUUAUUUAUCACUAUGUUUGCAACCAUUUUUUUUUUCAUUCCAAGAAAAACCAAAAAAUGUUGCUCAUUCAUAUUUACACUGAAUAAUACUUGGACCAGCUUCCGAAAUUCCUCUUUCCCUUUUAUAUAUUCCAUAUACCCUCACUUUUAUAAACACUGAUGACAGGAUAUUAAGUCAUAAAUACACAAUAAAAGUGCAUAGGAGUUUCUAAAAACCUUACUUCUGUAUUCUAUAGGCCAUAACCAGGAUGAGAUAAAGUAAAGUUAUAAAAGUCAUUAUAAGAAGGUUGCUUUAAAUUUAGAAAACAGCAACAUACUACACAAAGACAAGUGAGAUGUCAGUAAAUAAUUUGGAAAUUACACAAUAAUGGAAGUGGAU
rnacentral:lncRNA from 1 species